rnacentral:rRNA from 1 species
UAGGGAAUCUUCGGCAAUGGACGAAAGUCUGACCGAGCAACGCCGCGUGAGUGAAGAAGGUUUUCGGAUCGUAAAACUCUGUUGUUAGAGAAGAACAAGGACGUUAGUAACUGAACGUCCCCUGACGGUAUCUAACCAGAAAGCCACGGCUAACUACGUGCCAGCAGCCGCGGUAAUACGUAGGUGGCAAGCGUUGUCCGGAUUUAUUGGGCGUAAAGCGAGCGCAGGCGGUUUCUUAAGUCUGAUGUGAAAGCCCCCGGCUCAACCGGGGAGGGUCAUUGGAAACUGGGAGACUUGAGUGCAGAAGAGGAGAGUGGAAUUCCAUGUGUAGCGGUGAAAUGCGUAGAUAUAUGGUGGAACACCAGUGGCGAAGGCGGCUCUCUGGUCUGUAACUGACGCUGAGGCUCGAAAGCGUGGGGAGCAAACAGG